UACGGAGGGUGCGAGCGUUGUCCGGAAUCAUUGGGCGUAAAGAGCUCGUAGGCGGUUCAGUAAGUCAGGUGUGAAAGCUCCGAGCUCAACUCGGAGAGGCCACCUGAUACUGCUGUGACUAGAAUCCAGUAGGGGAGUGUGGAACUCCUGGUGUAGCGGUGAAAUGCGCAGAUAUCAGGAAGAACACCAGCGGCGAAGGCGGCACUCUGGGCUGGAAUUGACGCUGAGGAGCGAAAGUGUGGGUAGCAAACAGG
rnacentral:rRNA from 1 species